rnacentral:rRNA from 1 species
UACGUAGGGUGCGAGCGUUGUCCGGAAUUAUUGGGCGUAAAGAGCUUGUAGGCGGUUUGUCGCGUCUGCUGUGAAAAUCCGGGGCUCAACCCCGGACUUGCAGUGGGUACGGGCAGACUAGAGUGUGGUAGGGGAGACUGGAAGUUCCUGGUGUAGCGGUGAAAUGCGCAGAUAAUCAGGAGGAACACCGAUGGCGAAGGCAGGUCUCCUGGGCCAACUACUGACGUGGAGAAGCGAAAGCAUGGGGAGCGAACAGGA